rnacentral:ribozyme from 1 species
CACAAAUUUCUUCCUUUUUCCUUCGUCUUUCCUUUUUCUUUCUCCUUUUUUCUUCCUUUGUUUCCAUUUUUCUUUUUCCU